GACGAACGCUGGCGGCGUGCUUAACACAUGCAAGUCGAACGAAGUGGCGAACGGGUGAGUAAUACGUGGGUAACCUGCCCUCCUUUUUGGGAUAAGCCUUGGAAACGGGGUCUAAUACCGACUAAAGGGGGUUGGGCUCGCGGCCUUUCGGCUUGUUGGUGGGGUGAUGGCCUACCAAGGCGGUGUCGGGUAGCGGGCCUGAGAGGGUGACCGGGUACAUAGGGACGGAGCAACUGCCCAGACUGCGACGGGAGGCGGAAGUGGGGGGUAUUGGAGAAUGGGCGAAAGGCUGAUGCAGCGAGGCCGCGUGGGGGUUGGAGGCUUUGGGGUUGUAAACCUCUUUCACGAGCGAAAGGGUAGGUGGAGAAGAAGCGCCGGCUAACUACGUGCCAGCAGCCGCGGUAAUAC
rnacentral:rRNA from 1 species